rnacentral:RNase_P_RNA from 1 species
GACCACCGCUGGCGGCCUACGGGGCCCUUAAAGAGGGCCCUGAGGAAACUCCGCCCUCCCCGCGGCAUCCAGGCCCCGAAAGGGGGCGCGGGUGAUACCCGCGGCAACGGCACAGAAACGACACGGCCCCCGGGCGUGUCGGUGAAGCGGCUAGGCCUCCCGGGCAACCGGGGGGCGGCAAACCGUGGAUGGAACCCGGGGGAUGCGGUGAAACGGCCGUCCCUGGAGGAGCAAGGCCCGGGGGAGAUGAGGGCCGCGCGACAACCCCCGGGGGUGUCCGCUGAGUCUAAUGCCGCCGUAGUACUGAAGGCGGGUUAUAGCGGUGGUC